GACGAACGCUGGCGGUGUGCUUUAUACAUGCAAGUCGAGCGAUAAGGCCCCUUCGGGGGUACAUAAGCGGCGGACGGGUGAGUAAUACGUAGGAAAUCUGCCUUAAGGAGGGGGACAACAUCGGGAAACUGGUGCUAAUACCCCAUAUGAGAUAUCCUGAAAUGGAUAUCUUGAAAGUUCCGGCGCCUUAAGAUGAGCCUGCGGCUGAUUAGCUAGUUGAUGGGGUAAUGGCCUACCAAGGCGAUGAUCAGUAGCUGGUCUGAGAGGACGACCAGCCAGACAGGGACUGAGACACGGCCCUGACUCCUACGGGAGGCAGCAGCAAGGAAUUUUGCGCAAUGGGCGAAAGCCUGACGCAGCGACGCCGCGUGAGGGAUGAAGGCCUUCGGGUUGUAAACCUCUUUUCUUGAGGAAGAAUUAUGACGGUACUCAGGGAAUAAGUCUUGGCUAACUACGUGCCAGCCGCCGCGGUAAGAC
rnacentral:rRNA from 1 species